AAUACUUAAUAAUGCACAAGCAUAGAUUGUACCCAGAAGGUGCCUGCUCACACAUUGUCUGUACUGUUUUAGCAGUGAAAAAGAAUACCCAGAGACAAGGCACGGGUGGUGGGUCACCAAAAGCUGACCUCACCCCAGCAGAGGCCAGUUUUGGAGCUAAAUAAAGGCAGGCCUGUUGGAGGGGAUCCCUGGGGGAAAAGAGACAAGCAUAGGUCCCUCACAAGAUGCCACCCGCUUCAUACAAGUGUCUGGCAGCACUGUGUUACUGUUAAAGCCACCAGCACGAGCACCUGACGAUGCUGAUCCAGUGAGUACUCCAUCAAAGGCAUACUGUAGGCCUGGCAUGUCUUGUCUACUAGCUUCAAUAUGAAUCCGAUUAAAUGUGAUGGGGUCAAGGCCCCAUUUCAUCAGCACAUAACGGCGAUGAUGAUGAGGAGACCAUCUCGCUGGAUUCCAAAAGGCAUAAGGACCCAGAGUCAUUGGUGCACUGGACUGCACAAACAUAAGGAUAAAAGCCCCCUCAGUCCAUGACUCCAGAAUCUUUUGGACCUCUGAAAUCUAUCAGCGCCUAUCACAAGGUGAAUUCUCUGGUGUGUUGCUGGGAGACAGGGGGUAUGGCUGCCAGCCGUUUUUCCUGACACCUUUCACAGACCCCCAGGAAGCACAGCAGGCCUACAACUAUGCCCAUGCUAGGGCCAGAGUUGAAAUGACCUUUGGCCUCCUGAAGGCACGCUCUCACUGCCUUCACAAAUUAAGGGUCAGCCCUGUGAGGGAUUGUGACAUUACUGUGGCUUGUGGUGUCCUCCACAAUGUGGCCUGCCUGAGGAAGGAGAGGGCACCCAGAGUGCCGCCAGCCAUGGACUGGGACAAUCCGGAAAUCUUCUCUGAUGACAACAGUGGUCGGCUGCUGAGGGACCAAUAUGUGUUGAAUUAUUUUAGUCAGUAUGUGUGCUUUCACAUUUUUUUGAUGUUUGUGCUGUAUACUGUGUGUAUACUGUUUGUAAUACAAGCUUGCAGGGAGGCUACUGCAUUCAUUAAUUGUCUUGUUUUCAGUUGUCUGAAAUUGUCUGUUCAGUUAAUGUGCAUGAAUUUGUCCUGCAUU